GAGUUGGAUUUAGACUGGCUGCUGGUCUUCUUGUUGUUGAGAAGCCUUGCUGCAACUAAUUUUCUAAAGGACCUUUCAGAAUGGCACCUUGCUUAACUGAGUGGUUGUGCUGACUGAAUUUUUCCAUUGCUGAAGAAUCCAUCAGAGCCUCUGAUGUGCCUUGAAUCACUUCUGGCAAAGGAUCAUAGUGUAGAGUCUUUGGGGCUACAGAUGAAUUCCUGUAGAGCUCUGUGUACUUCAAGAUGUAUUACUGCUGUGAUUUAAAUGGAGUAUUGAGAGUUAUGCUGUGACUCUGGAUCUCUUGGAAGGAGAAAAAUAGGCAGAAGCAGAAUAUUAAAGAACAUAAUUGGGAUGUAGAAGCAGCUAUCCUGGAAGAUUUAUCAUCAUUAGCAGUUAGUUAUGGAUUUUUUAUGAGAAGUAUACUUCCUCCAGACCAUCAUUUUUAAUAGCAUCCAUCAGUGUUAUUAAGUAGGACCGUUCUUCCCAAAGUUCUCUAAACCUUCUCUUAACCCGUUUAUAGCUUUUUUUUAAAAAAAAACAUCCUCUGCCAAUUGAUGAAUUCUAGAAUAAUUAUGUGUUGUAUCAAAGAAAUAACUUGUUUGGUUUAAGUUUCAGUCUGAUUUUCUAAUUUGUGUGAUACGGGAAAUAGUGAGAGAUGUUUUCCUAGUUAGUUUUCUAUUCUUUUCCUAGUUUUACAUGACUUUAUCACAUUCUGUUGGGUUGCCUCUUUUUGAGGCAGGGUAACCUUGGUCUCUUUUCAGUCUGUACUCAUGUAAGAACUAUUCCAUCUCUCUCCUAACCUAUUCUAGUUCCUCUGUGUGUUUUGCGAAGUGAAGAGUGCUUUCAUUUCAUCCCAUUUUCACCUCACUCAUAAAUAUAUUAGAUAGCCCAAAUCCCACAGCCCAAGUUCUAGAAGAUUCUAUACUUCUAUUCAAUGUGAAAGCUGACAGUUUUUACCUGAAACUGAUUUUCUGUCUUUAAGUAGUUAUUAAUCCACAGAAAGAUCUUUCUAUGUACUUCAUCAAGCUUAAUUGCUUCAAGUUCUGUCUAUAAGAACAUUUUUUUCUUAAGAUUUUUGCAGUAGCUCAGCAUACUUUACCAGGCAGAUCACUAUCGGACAUUCAUGCUCAUUGAUACAGUUGAAAAAAACAAACCAACAUAUUCAUGUAAUUCUUGCUUCUUACAGGGAUGCUAAUUUUCACGAAGAUAUAUUUGUGGGACUAGCAGAAUCAUCAAUAGCAAUGUCACAACACAUGGAUUUUAACUGUUGUCUUUUCGAGUCACUGAAUUGUGUAAAAAAUUUUUCAGAAAGAUGAAAAUGAUAGCUUUAAAUACCAAAAGACCAUAAUAGCUAUGUUAAUUCCUCUAUUAUUUCUUUUUUCCGUACCCUUUAGACAUAGGCUUAGAACCUGAACACAGCCCCCAGAUUUUGAGUAAGAUACAUAUGGAUACAAACUUUGUAGUGUGGAAUCUAGCUUUAGUUGAGGAAGAUCAGGAGCUAUUGAAGUGAACAAAUGGAAAUUGUUGGUACAUAAGGAAAAGCUAUUCCUUCUGGCAUAGAGCAAACUCUGUGAUGCAAGUCAAUAUGUGAAAUUACUGUUCUAGACCACCAGUGAUGUAUAUGACUCAACAUCUGCCACAUUCAUCUACACAUUGUGUAAAAUAUUCUCCCCUGUGAUGGUUUUCACAGUGAUUGUAAGGGAUAGAAUGCUGGACUGGCAGCUCAGGCGUGUGUGCAGAAUAAAUAAAUAAAUACUACUGCAGUGUAACUUAUAUCCUGCUAUUGCACAAGGAUGUAAGAAAAAUGGUGCGCCCACUCUGUCUAUGACUUCUAUGAGCCCUUGUUGAGUAAAUAAGGACAGUC
rnacentral:lncRNA from 1 species